ACUCCUACGGGAGGCAGCAGUGGGGAAUAUUGCACAAUGGGGGAAACCCUGAUGCAGCCAUGCCGCGUGUAUGAAGAAGGCCUUCGGGUUGUAAAGUACUUUCAGCAGUGAGGAAGGUGGAUAUGUUAAUAGCAUAUUCAUUUGACGUUAGCGACAGAAGAAGCACCGGCUAACUCCGUGCCAGCAGCCGCGGUAAUACGGAGGGUGCGAGCGUUAAUCGGAAUUACUGGGCGUAAAGCGCAUGCAGGUGGUUUGUUAAGCCAGAUGUGAAAGCCCCGGGCUCAACCUGGGAACGGCAUUUCGAACUGGCAAGCUAGAGUACAGUAGAGGGUGGCGGAAUUUCCUGUGUAGCGGUGAAAUGCGUAGAGAUCUGAAGGAAUACCGAUGGCGAAGGCAGCCACCUGGGUCAACACUGACGCUCAUGUACGAAAGCGUGGGGAGCAAACAGGAUUAGAUACCCUGGUAGGCUCU
rnacentral:rRNA from 1 species